GCCGCCGCCAUCUUGGGUUGAACGCUGCGCGCGCUGCUUCUGCGCACUGCCCUGGAGCUGUGGUGCUGGCUCAGCUGUUUGUUCUGGGAAUACUGGUCUGAAGGCCGGAGGGCAAGGCCUGUACAGGCGUUACCCUGUGAGCGAGUGAAAAAGAGACGAACCACGACGGAGAACAAAAGGUUGUGAAGCCAGGAAAGGACAAGGUGCACUGAUACUGUUUAUGAAGUUCAUACCAAACUGUGAGUUCCUUGAGGGAUGCUUUUGAUAAAUGCUGCUUCAUCCUUUGGGGCUAUCUAAGACUGACCAAUCGCCUCGGACCAUUGCAGAGGCAAAAUAUCAUGGUGAAGAAUGAAUGCAUUUUUUUAUCUUUAUGAUCAAGAGAGAUGGAAAUAUCAAGACAGGGGACAUCUUCAGUUAAGGAGAAAAGUCUUGUGAGAAGAAAGUCUGGCCUAGGGAUAAAUCACCCGUCAAGAGAAUGGUGUAAUUCUUCUGCAGAUUUCCAAGGUGAAAUAUAAAAGACAGACGAGAGACUUCAGAACAGGGGAAGGGGAUCCCUUUCACUGAGCCUGCAUUAUCUGCCUGCCUGCUUUUUCUACCUCGAGUUAUUUAGUGAUUUUUGCCCUAAGAGCUGAAGAUAGGAUCAUGGUGCUGGUGGACUGAGUUCCCAUAUGUCUCAGUAUCAGUGCCUGGUCAGGAUGCUCCUCGUGAACCUAAUCCAUGAGACCAGAUAGAUUUUCAAGGGGCAGAUCUACUCUGAGGAUCACACUGGUGGCACAAUUGAUGCAAAGAAAGUGGAGGGACUCUUGGGUCUAGUGGUUGAUACUGUCUCAUAAAUGAUAACCCUUCUUCUGUGAGGAGCACUGUACGAUGAACAGAGCUAGUCUUUAGCCAUUAUCUCAUUUCACAGCAGCCCUCUGUCCCCAGCACCCUAAUUCUUGGUCACUAAUCCUUUGAGGUAGAGAACAAGAGCCAGGGCAAGGCCUAGUGCAUCAUUCUGCAAUCAAGAAAAUGAACUCAGUGAGGUUAAAUAACUUGAUGGAUUCGAUUGGCAGUACAUGGCAGAGCAGAGGUUAGGACCCAGCUUUGUCUGAGUCCAAAGCCAAUGCCUUUUUCUCUAUAUUGUAGAGCGUAUCAGCUUGUCUCUUGUUUCAAGACUCCAGGCAGUUUUCUGCUGUGAAGAACAACAUAACUUAAAAAGUGAUCAUCCUUGUUUGUGUUAGUACCAAAGGCAGCAUUAAAAACCAUCUGAUAUAUAGUCAUUCUAGUUUAUAGUCUGAAAUUAAAACUGUAAAGUAAUUUCCUGUCCCAGCUUUCAGGGCAGUUUCUUGCUGUGACUAAUAUUAGUGGGCUUUCAAUAUUAUCAUUGAAGUAGGGAAACUUGCAAAUCAAGUAGUGACUCAUUGUAAGUGAGCGAGAGACAAAAUAAUGCUGUGAUGUGUCAUCGUUGUCAGAGGGCUCAGGAAGUCUAGAUUCCAAAAUGAGUUGUUUUCUCCAUAUAUUGAGCUCAUUUCCCCCAAGUGGUACAUACUGCUUAUGUCUGGAACCAGGAAGCCCACACCCUAGGAAGUGGAAGUGGCUGGGUUGGUCUUGGUCAUACCCUACUAACUUGUCCCCAAGAACAGGGAUCAGGAAACCACAGCCCUUAUGCUACGUAUGGUCCACCCUGUUUUCAUAAAUAAAGUUUCACUGUUACAUAGACUAGUCAUAUGUUUACUGUUGUCUAUGGCUGCUUCCUCAUUACAACACAGAGUUUAUAGUUGCCAGAGAGACUGUAUGGCAGAAAAUACCGACUAUCUGGCCCUUUACAGAAGAAUUUGCCAACCACGCUCAAGAUUCUUUGGCAAAUGCAGUCAUUAAAACACUUGCUUUAAAAAAGGAUUGAAAAGGAGGGGACAUAUGUAUACUUAUAGCUAAUGUACAGUAGAAACUAACACAAUAUCAUAAAGCAAUUAUACUCCAAUUUAAAAUAAAUUAAAAAUAAAAAAAGGGUUGGUCACAUUUAUAUCAACUUUUGAGAAUUGGAACACAAGCAAGUUAUCAUAAAAGGGUGCAUCACAGAAUGCCUCAGACGGAUUAAAACUUUGGUGAAAACUCAGACUUUGACUGCUCCAGGUUAAUUUUUUCCUUGUGGGCAGUUUUUUUGAUUGUUGUU